rnacentral:rRNA from 1 species
GAGCCCGCACAAGCAGUGGAGUAUGUGGUUUAAUUCGACGCAACGCGAAGAACCUUACCAGGGCUUGACAUCCACGGAAGGCCGAGUAAAUUUGGCUGUGCCCCUUCGGGGGAGCCGUGAGACAGGUGGUGCAUGGUUGUCGUCAGCUCGUGUCGUGAGAUGUUGGGUUAAGUCCCGCAACGAGCGCAACCCUUACGGUUAGUUGCUACGAAAGAGCACUCUAACAGGACUGCCGUUGACAAAACGGAGGAAGGUGGGGAUGACGUCAAAUCAUCAUGCCCUUUACGCUCUGGGCUACACACGUACUACAAUGGCGUAAACAAAGGGGAGCAAUGCGGCGACGCGGAGCAAAUCCUUAAAAGACGUCCCAGUUCAGAUUGUAGGCUGCAACCCGCCUACAUGAAGUUGGAAUUGCUAGUAAUCGUAGAUCAGCAUGUUACGGUGAAUACGUUCCCGGGCUUU